rnacentral:rRNA from 1 species
GGCGUGCCUAACACAUGCAAGUCGUGCGAGAAAGCUCCUUCGGGAGUGAGUAAAGCGGCGGACGGGUGAGUAACACGUGAGCGAUCUACCCGGUGUGGGGGACAACCCAGGGAAACCUGGGCUAAUACCGCAUAUGGCGUGGGCUUGGAAGCCCGGCGUCAAAGCUGGCCUCUUCUUGAAAGCUAGCGCCAUCGGAUGAGCUCGCGGCCUAUCAGCUAGUUGGUGGGGUAAGAGCUCACCAAGGCGGAGAUCGGUAGCUGGUCUGAGAGGACGAUCAGCCACACGGGAACUGAGACACGGUCCCGACUCCUACGGGGGGCAGCAGUGAGGAAUAUUGCACAAUGGGGGCAACCCUGAUGCAGCAACGCCGCGUGAGUGAUGAAGGCUUUCGGGUCGUAAAGCUCUGUCAAGUGGGAAGAAAAUGCAAAAUGUCAAUAUCAUUUUGCACUGACGGUACCACUGAAGGAAGCACCGGCUAACUCCGUG